AAAAAAAAAAAAAAAAGGAAAGAAUCGCAAAAGAGAACUCAAUACCAGCUACAAAACGACGUAGCAUAGGGGGGUGUAGGGAACACACCCUACACUAGGGUGUAGGGUAAAAUUUUCACGUGCCUAGUAAGUGAAGUUUGUGAAAAUUCUGCUUCUCCUAACUUCCAAUUUCAAAAUUAAAGGCACGUGGCUGAUGUGGGUCCAGGGAACUAAAAUUAUCUUUUAUGCCACCUUUUGAAGGUUUUACAAGUUCGCUGAGAACACCCCACCGUAGCCACUACCUGCAGCCAACAAGCCUCCUUUCGGAUCACCUUCUAAAACAAACAGUCCAAUCACUGAUUUUCACACCGGCGAAUUAUCCACCAUGGUCUCCUGGGUGGACCUUCAAACUCGCCUCUGCCUAUGUUGUCGUUGGCGACGAAACAGAAAAGUUUCACACUUCGUUACUUUCCUUUGUCAUCCUCUGAUCUUAAUGGAAGCUUCUUACUUAUGUCUUCUCUUUCCACCCCAUCAACUACCAUCUCAUGUUCUUCUAGUAUCUAAAUUAUUAAAACAUCCUAAAAUACCCUUAGCCUACUGAUAUUGAUGCAUAACAUGUGAUUUCUAAAAAUUUCAUAUAAGUUGCAACAAUGUUUUAUUUCUUUGUUUGGAAAUUCUUUGUCCCUAUCUUUCUUUCUCCAUUAAACGCUCAGCAAAUUUUUUUGUCUUGGAAUCAGUUUUGAGAAGUUUAUUGCAACUUAUUUGACACGGAGGAAGUAUUAAUCUGCUUAUUAUAGACAAACAAGCUCAAGCUGAUGACUGAUGAGCGAGACAAAUUUAAGGCACAAGUUGAAGAUCUGUUGACAAAUGAGGAUGAACUUAAACUUACUUUUCAAUCUAUUGAGGAUAAGGUUUCGACAGAACAACAUGAAGCAGAUUAUCUUUCAAGGAGAGUAGCCAAACUGGAAGAGGAUAUGCAUGAUGUGAUAGGAAAGAUUUGCAAGGAGAAUGAGAAACAAGCAAGUUGAGAAGGAUGUGUACCUUUCAUUUUUGUGAAGCUGUAAAUCCUGUUUGUCCCUUUUGAAAGCUGAGAAGAUGUAAAUCCUGUUUGUCCCUUUUGAAGCUGAGAAGUUGUAAAUUCUGUUUGUGCCUAUUAUUUCUUAGAGAAGCAAGUUGAGAAGUUGCAAUCUCCGUCUGCACAUUUCUAGUUUGCCUUGACUGCAGCAACACCCAGAAGAGUCUAGUGUGGUACAGUUAACAAACAGA